UACGAAGGGGGCUGGCGUUGUUCGGAAUUACUGGGCGUAAAGCGCACGUAGGCGGACUACUAAGUCAGGGGUGAAAUCCCGGGGCUCAACCCCGGAACUGCCUUUGAUACUGAUAGUCUCGAGUCCGGAAGAGGUGAGUGGAAUUCCGAGUGUAGAGGUGAAAUUCGUAGAUAUUCGGAGGAACACCAGUGGCGAAGGCGGCUCACUGGUCCGGUACUGACGCUGAGGUGCGAAAGCGUGGGGAGCAAACAGG
rnacentral:rRNA from 1 species